GAGAGGUCUCCGCAAGGAGAUUCCAAAAGUGGCAAACGGGUGAGUAACGCGUGGGAAACUUACCUUCAUGUUGGGGAUAACACUCCUAACGGGGUGCUAAUACCGAAUGUGAUUACGGUGUCGCAUGGCUCGUUGAUCAAAGGCGGCCUCUGUUUACAAGCUGUCGCAUGAAGAUGGUCCCGCGUCCCAUUAGCUAGUAGGUGGGGUAAUGGCCUACCAAGGCAGAGAUGGGUAGCCGGCCUUAGCGGGUGUCCGGCCACACUGUUUCUCUAGAUACGGCGAAGACUCCUACGGAUGGUCGNUGUGGGGGUUUCUAGAAGAU
rnacentral:sRNA from 1 species